AGAGCGAACGCUGGCGGCAGGCUUAACACAUGCAAGUCGAGCGGGCGUAGCAAUACGUCAGCGGCAGACGGGUGAGUAACGCGUGGGAACGUACCUUUUGGUUCGGAACAACCCAGGGAAACUUGGGCUAAUACCGGAUAAGCCCUUACGGGGAAAGAUUUAUCGCCGAAAGAUCGGCCCGCGUCUGAUUAGCUAGUUGGUGAGGUAAUGGCUCACCAAGGCGACGAUCAGUAGCUGGUCUGAGAGGAUGAUCAGCCACAUUGGGACUGAGACACGGCCCAAACUCCUACGGGAGGCAGCAGUGGGGAAUAUUGGACAAUGGGCGCAAGCCUGAUCCAGCCAUGCCGCGUGAGUGAUGAGGGCCCUAGGGUUGUAAAGCUCUUUUGUGCGGGAAGAUAAUGACGGUACCGCAAGAAUAACGCCCGGACUACUUCGCGCCAGCAGCCGC
rnacentral:rRNA from 1 species